rnacentral:rRNA from 1 species
AUUGAACGCUGGCGGCAGGCCUAACACAUGCAAGUCGAACGAGUGGCGGACGGGUGAGUAAUGUCUGGGAAACUGCCCGAUGGAGGGGGAUAACUACUGGAAACGGUAGCUAAUACCGCAUACCAUCGGAUGUGCCCAGAUGGGAUUUGCUAGUAGGUGGGGUAACGGCUCACCUAGGCGACGAUCCCUAGCUGGUCUGAGAGGCUGACCAGCCACAAUGGAACUGAGACACGGUCCAGACGCAUACGGGAGGCAGCAGUGGGGAAUCUUGCACAAUGGGCGCAAGCCUGAUGCAGCCAUGCCGCGUGUAUGAAGAAGGCCUUCGGGUUGUAAAGGACUUUCAGCGAGGAUGCGUUACUCGCAGAAGAAGCACAGGCUAACUCCGUGCCAGCAGCCGCGGUAAUAC